GCUAGUGUGGCAUAGUGGUUUGAGCGCUGGAUUAUGACUUUGGAGACAAGGGUUCCACUCCCUGCUCAGCC